rnacentral:rRNA from 1 species
GACGAACGCUGGCGGCGUGCUUAACACAUGCAAGUCGAACGGAAAGGCCCUGCUUUUGUGGGGUGCUCGAGUGGCGAACGGGUGAGUAACACGUGAGUAACCUGCCCUUGACUUUGGGAUAACUUCAGGAAACUGGGGCUAAUACCGGAUAGGAGCUCCUGCUGCAUGGUGGGGGUUGGAAAGUUUCGGCGGUUGGGGAUGGACUCGCGGCUUAUCAGCUUGUUGGUGGGGUAGUGGCUUACCAAGGCUUGGACGGGUAGCCGGCCUGAGAGGGUGACCGGCCACAUUGGGACUGAGAUGCGGCCCAGACUCCUACGGGAGGCAGCAGUGGGGAAUAUUGCACGAUGGGCGGAAGCCUGAUGCAGCAACGCCGCGUGCGGGAUGACGGCCUUCGGGUUGUAAACCGCUUGCGCCUGUGACGAAGCGUGAGUGACGGUAAUGGGUAAAGAAGCACCGGCUAACUACGUG